rnacentral:rRNA from 1 species
AUUGAACGCUGGCGGCAUGCUUUACACAUGCAAGUCGAACGGUAACAGGCCUUCGGGCGCUGACGAGUGGCGAACGGGUGAGUAACGCAUCGGAACGUGCCCAGUCGUGGGGGAUAACGCAGCGAAAGCUGUGCUAAUACCGCAUACGAUCUGCGGAUGAAAGCGGGGGACCUUAGGGCCUCGCGCGAUUGGAGCGGCCGAUGUCAGAUUAGGUAGUUGGUGGGGUAAAGGCCUACCAAGGCGACGAUCUGUAGCGGGUCUGAGAGGAUGAUCCGCCACACUGGGACUGAGACACGGCCCAGACUCCUACGGGAGGCAGCAGUGGGGAAUUUUGGACAAUGGGCGAAAGCCUGAUCCAGCCAUGCCGCGUGCAGGAUGAAGGCCUUCGGUGUAAGCUCUUCGCUGGAGAAUACGCACAGGCUAAUACUCUGUGUGGAUGACGGUACCGAGCACAAGAAG